rnacentral:lncRNA from 1 species
AGUAGUAGUAAUAGUAGUAGUAGUAUAUUGUUUAUAUUGAAUUAUAUAUGCACAUUGGGUUGCGGUUGUUUUUAUAUUUAAAAUUGACUUUGUGAUAUCCUAAGCGUUAAAGGUUAUUGUUAUUUGGUAUUUUAAUUUUUAAAUUUGUUAUAUGCUUGUUGGGUGGGUUUGACUCUGUUUAUGAGGUCGUAGUAUUUUCUAUUGAAAAUUCAUCUUCUCCGUAAUAUUUCACUAUGUAUUCUCAGUGAGUUAUAUUGUUAAUGUUUGGUCAUUGUAUUUACUUUAUUUUAUCUUUUUUCUUUUAUUUGAUUUUGUUUCUGUUAGUUUGUUUUUUAUUGGAUUUUGUAUUUUUUUUAAAAUGUUACAAGUUGAAAUUGGCCAAUGAGAAAAUCUCUCCGUCGAUUUUGGAGGCCUUCCCAUUCUAAAUGACGGAAAUUUAGUUUAAGUUUAUAUAUUUUGUAAGUUAAAAUUGGUCAAUGAGAAAAUCUCUCCGUCGAUUUUAGAGGCCUUCCCAAUUUAAAAGACGGAAUUUUAGUUUAAGCUUAUAUAUUUUAUUUGUUAAAAAUGGCCAAUGAGAAAAUCUCCUCCGUCCGGUUUUUGGAGGCCUCCACAUUGCAAAGACGGUAAAUUUAGUUAAGUUUCAUUAAUUGUUACAAGUUGAAAUUGGCCAAUGAGAAAAUCUCUCCGUCAGUUUUGGAGGCCUCCCCAUUUAAAAGACGGAAAUUUAGUUUAAGUUUAUAUAUGUUAUAUCUUAGAAUUGUCCGAUGAAGAAAUUACCGUCGAUUUCCAAGGCCUUCCAUGUUAAUAAGACGGAUUUUAUUUUUUAAGUUAUUGUUUAAUUCAUUUAUUUUUAUUCAUAUUUAUUUAUUACUAACACUUUUACUAAGUGUCUUUACAGGUACUCGGAGCUGCUUCCCAUUGAAGCUAUUCGAACAAAGUUCGAACAAUAUUUUAAUUCAUUAUCGUAUAGUAUUGAUGAUAGACAAAUCUAGGUUGUUUCUGAUAUUAUUUUAUUUUAUUACUUGUGUAUCUUGUAUGUUUGUUUUAUUUGUAUAUUAUUUUUAUCUCCUCCUCAAUUUGAAAAAAUGAACUCAGUCGGGAUCCACAAUUGUGGAUUUCGAAGGAUGCCUAACACCUUCCCUUCGGAAUAAUUUGAACCCCUUACCUAGAAUCUUGGUUUCGUAGAUCACUUAAUGGUUUCCUAGUUUUUUCCUAAAAUUAGGUGGCGACUCCUUUAAAAUUUGUUUAUUCUUAAAAUUCUUUUAAAAUUGAAUCAAUUGAUUAUUUUUUUUAGUCACUGCGACGUUUCGCCCUAUU